AUUGAACGCUGGCGGCAGGCCUAACACAUGCAAGUCGAACGGUAACAGGAAGAAGCUUGCUUCUUUGCUGACGAGUGGCGGACGGGUGAGUCAUGUCUGGGAAACUGCCUGAUGGAGGGGGAUAUCUACUGGAAACGGUAGCUAAUACCGCAUAACGUCUCAAGACCAAAGAGGGGGACCUUCGGGCCUCUUGCCAGCGGAUGCGCCCAGAUGGGCUUAGUUAGUAGGUGGGGUAACGGCUCACCUAGGCGACGAUCGCUAGCUCGUCGGAGAGGAUGACAAGCCACACUGGAGCGUAGACACGGACCAGACUCCUACGGGAGGGAGCAGUGGGGAAUAUUGCACAAUGGGCGGAAGCCUGAUGCAGCCAUGCCGCGUGUAUGGAAAAGACCUUCGGGUUGUGAAGUACUUUCAGCGGGGAGGAAGGGCGUAAGGUUAAUACCUUGGCUCAUUGACGUUACCCGCAGAAGAAGCACCGGCUAACUCCGUG
rnacentral:rRNA from 1 species